GAAGUGAAUUAUACCCACAAAUUGAUCUAUCUUUGAAACUUUGCUUUUCUUCUGUGCUUCCAUUUUCUUUCCCAAUUCCAUCAGUUUUCUCCAUUUUCUGAUUCCCUCAAUUAUUUCUUCGAAAUUAAAACAUAGAAAAAAGGUUAAUGAACGCCGGUGUCUGGUGUUGAGAAUCGGUGUUGGCUGAUGGCAAGCAGAAGAUCAGGUGUCAAGGAUAGGGGAAAGGGAAGGGGAAGGGGAAGGGGAAGGGAAAAGGAAGAUCGGUGUCUAAUUUUCCUGAAAAUGUCUUACCG
rnacentral:lncRNA from 1 species